AGUGAACGCUGGCGGCAGGCCUAACACAUGCAAGUCGAACGGCAGCACAAGAGAGCUUGCUCUCUGGGUGGCGAGUGGCGGACGGGUGAGGAAUGCAUCGGAAUCUGCCCAUUUGUGGGGGAUAACCUCGGGAAACCGGGACUAAUACCGCAUACGACCUACGGGUGAAAGCAGGGGAUCUUCGGACCUUGCGCAGAUGGAUGAGCCGAUGCCGGAUUAGCUAGUUGGAGGGGUAAAGGCCCACCAAGGCGACGAUCCGUAGCUGGUCUGAGAGGAUGAUCAGCCACACUGGAACUGAGACACGGCCCAGACUCCUACGGGAGGCAGCAGUGGGGAAUAUUGGACAAUGGGCGCAAGCCUGAUCCAGCCAUGCCGCGUGUGUGAAGAAGGCCUUCGGGUUGUAAAGCACUUUUGUUGGGAAAGAAAAGCAGCCGGCUAAUACCCGGUUGUCAUGACGGUACCCAAAGAAUAAGCACCGGCUAACUUCGUG
rnacentral:rRNA from 1 species